AAGACUAUAGACCUGCGGAGUACCUGCGGAGGGAUCAUUACUGAGUAACGCGGUCUUCGGACCCGCUACCCGCCCUAUGUCAUAUGUUGGACGAGGUCGCUUUCGGGCGGCCUCCGACCUCACUUCCCGGGAGGCGUUGCGCCCCGCCAGGCCUGUCCUGGGGGGGUGGGACCGCCCGGGGUCUUUAAAAACCCUUUGCGAGAAUCUGAAGUCUGAAGCGAAAGAUAAAUCGAAGCAAAA
rnacentral:misc_RNA from 1 species